CCUGAUCUAAAGAAACAUCAGGCCGGGCGCGGUGGCUCACGCCUGUAUGGGAGGCCGAGGCGGGUGGAUCACGAGGUCAGGAGAUCGAGACCACGGUGAAACCCCGUCUCUACUAAAAAUACAAAAAAAAUUAGCCGGGCGCGGUGGCGGGCGCCUGUAGCCCCAGCUACUCGGGAGGCUGAGCCAGGAGAAUGGCGUGAACCCGGGAGGCAGAGCUUGCAGUGAGCCGAGAUCGCUCCACGGCACUCCAGCUUGGGCAACAGAGCGAGACUCCAUCUUAAAAAAAAAAAAAAAAAGAAACAUCAGUGGAAGAGGAAGAAACUGCAGGUCAUGCAUUCCAGUUUUCUCUCCUAAUCUUUACUUUCAAUUUUUACUCUAACAUGCAAAGUUUCCAUUGAUUUCUAAAGGAGAGACCAGCAAAGGAGUGAAGGAAGCAGAGCAAGGAAGGAGAAUAAGCUACACAAUGCUGUGAUUACAGGUACAGGAAUAAACUUACGUGAUCCUCAUUUCAAGGAGAAGAAGGAGAAGUUGAAGAAGGAGGAGAAGGAGAAGGAUGAGAAGAAAAACAAGAAGAGGAAGGAGAAGGAGGAGGAAAAUGAGAAGGAGAAGAAGAGAAGGAACAGCAGCAGUUGCAGGAGGAGGAGAAAGAGGAGGAGGAGGAGGAGGGAGUGUGCAGAAGCUGGGGGGGAUUCCAAUGUUGGAAGCAUUUUUAGCGUACAACAACAUCCAAGUGGAUUACUAUGAAUGCCUAGACCUCUAUGGCAAACAGUCUCUUCGUGGCCUGUGCUGAGGACUACAUCAGUCUCCUGCAAUUAUCAUCUACACUGAAAAACAAAGAGGACAGAGGCGAAGCUAGUGGCCCUCACCAUCCCCUGCAAGCUGAUUGCUUCUUACUGCAAGCACUUGAGCAUCUUCCUGAGAGCUUUCUUGGGCAAUGGGAACCAGGCUUGGCCCAAUCACAGGCAGGUGAAGUAUGAGGAAAUGGAGAAGGCAUUGUCCAAGGAGCAGUCUUCAACCUUCACCCCGCAAGUGAGACAACUCUGAAUAAGAUGUGUUCUACACUCUCUUCCAAAGGUCCCCAGUUGGAUGGAGCUCUAGCUGCUCAUGUGAUAAGCUGCCUAUUAAUACACAAAAGAUUGCCUUUCCUCCUUGCUCUGUCUUCCUGCUGCUCUCCUACUAAUGUUUCCUGGGAUUGCCUCCAAAUAAACCACUUGAACUCACA
rnacentral:lncRNA from 1 species